AUGGUAGAAGAAAUGCUUGAACUAUUCGGCAUUGAAACCAGCAGCGAGGCCGAGGGGGAAGUGCAACAAGUUCACGCAGUUUCGCGCCCAGCUCUUGAUGGUGGUGUGUCACCCAAAGCGUUCCAGUUGCUAGCAACCAUGCAAGAUCAAGAGGUGCUCAUUUUGGUGGACAGUGGGAGUUCCACAUCUUUCAUCAACCAGCAUUUGGCCGAACACCUGUCAGGGGCCCGAGCCCUGCACCAACCAUGUCGAGUCAAAGUAGCUGAUGGGGGUGAACUAGUCUGUUUGGCAUCUAUCCCCGAUUGCCAGUGGUCGUCGCAAGGGCUGGAAUUCGUCACGGAUAUGAAGAUUCUGCCGCUCGGAGUGUAUGACUCCAUUCUGGGGAUGGAUUGGCUGGAGCAGCACAGCCCGAUGACCGUGGAUUGGAGGAACAAGCACUUGCGUAUCCCAACAGCUCUCGUGCCAGCCAGUUUGUUUGGGCAUGAAGCGCAGUCCAACCAGUGCCAUAUCAUCAACAGUGCUCAGCUGCAACAACUGCAUCGACAGGGAGCUCUGUUGCAUCUCUGUCUGCUCUACCCAAUCAACGUGAAGACAAAAAACUCGGUGCCUGGAACCCCUGGUCUGCACCAGUUACUGGCAGAAUUUGAGGAUGUGUUUGAGGAGCCGCAGGGGAUACCUCCCCGUCGGGCUUGUGAUCAUAAGAUUCCUCUCAUGCCGGGGGCGCAACCUGUUAACAUUAGACCCUAUCUUCAUAAACCAGAACACAAGCCAGAGAUCGAACGACAAGUCCAAGAACUGCUGCAGUCCAGAGUACUUCAGCGCAGCCACAACACCUUCUCUUCUCCUGUCAUAUUGGUUAAGAAGAAAGAUGGCACAUGGAGAAUGUGCGUUGAUUACCGACACCUCAACGCAAUGACACACGUCAGCAAGUUUCCUGUUCUGAUUAUUGAAGAACUGUUGGACGAGUUACACAGUGCAGUGUGGUUCUCCAAGCUGGAUUUGCAUGCGGGGUACCAUCAAAUUCGUUUGGCCGAAGGGGAGGAAUUUAAAACAGCUUUCCAAACCCACUCAGGUCACUACAAAUUCAAAGUACUUUCGUUUGGACUAGCGGGAGGACCUGGUACCUUUAAUGGAGCAAUUACAGAAACGAUGCACCCCCUCUUGAGGCACUGUGUCUUGCUUUUCUUUGAUGACAUCCUUGUUUUUAGAAAGACUUGGGAGGAUCACUUAGCUCACCUCCGACAGGUUCUCGAACUUCUGCGCAGAGACCAAUGGAAAGUGAAGGAGUCCAAGUGUGAAUUUGGGCAGCGACAAUUAUCUUAUUUGGGACAUGUGAUCAGCGGUGAAGGAGUGGCCACCGACCCAGGGAAGAUUCAAGCAGUGGAAGCAUGGCCAACCCCUACAGAUGCGAAAGAGGUGCACCGUUUCUUGGGAUUGGCAGGUUAUUACCGCAGAUUUGUGCGCGGAUUCGGCAUCAUAGCUCGCCCCUUGUUUAAUCUUUUGAAGAAGGGCGUUCCAUUUGUCUUGACAGAGAACACCGACCAAGCUUUUACCCUUCUCAAAAAGCAGCUGGUGUCGGCGCCGGUGUUGGCAAUGCCAGACUUUAGUAAACCCUUCACGAUCGAGACUGACGCAUGUGACAAAGGUAUCGGGGCAGUUUUGCAACAGGAGGGGCACCCAAUUGCAUUCAUGAGUAAAGGCUUGAGUCCUCAUUAUCAAGGCCUGUCAACUUAUGAAAAAGAGUACCUGGCUAUUGUGGUUGCUGUCGAUCAGUGGCGACCCUACCUGCAACACAGCGAGUUUGUCAUCUUCACAGACCAGAAAAGUCUUAUUCAUCUGGAAGAGCGGCGUUUGACAAUGCCCUGGCAACAGCGCGUGUUUACCAAGCUGCUGGGAUUGCGGUAUGUCAUUCGGUACAAGAAAGGGUCGGACAACACUGCGGCUGACGCGCUGUCGCGUUCGCGGUCUCCAGAACUGCUAUUUGGUAUCACUUCAUGUCAACCUAGUUGGUUGGAUGACGUGCUGGCCAGCUAUAACUGCAAUCCCCAGGCGCAGAAACUACUUCAGCAACUUGCACUGCGAGAGGACCCCAAGAAACGCUUCGCCCUACAGAAUGGCAUACUGUACUUUCGAGACCAAAUCUGGCUCGGGGGUUCGACGGCUUUACAGCAACGCAUAAUCUCAGCUUUCCAUGACAGCCCCAUGGGGGGCCACAACGGGUUUCCAGCCACUUUCAGACGCAUUCGUCGUCUGUUUGCGUGGCCUAAGAUGAAGGUACACAUCUUGCAAUACGUCCGAUGCUGCCCAGUCUGCCAACAGGCCAAACCUGACAGGUCAGCAUCCCCAGGACUGCUUGAGCCACUACCGAUACCAAAGCAGCCGUGGGACAUGAUUACCAUGGAUUUUAUAGACGGCCUACCACAGUCGAGCAAGUUCAAUUGUCUCUGGGUGUUUGUCGACAAGAGGACCAAGUUUGCUCACUUCCUGCCGUUGGCGCAUCCUUACACAGCCUCGAAGGUGGCGCUACUAUACAUGUCCAGCAUCUACAGCGUUCAUGGGUUCCCUGCUUCGAUCGUGUCAGAUAGAGACCCAGUCUUCACCAGCAAUUUCUAG
rnacentral:rRNA from 1 species